rnacentral:rRNA from 1 species
UACAGAGGGGGCGAGCGUUGUUCGGAAUUACUGGGCGUAAAGGGCGCGUAGGCGGCCUUCUAAGUCGAACGUGAAAUCCCCGGGCUCAACCCGGGAACUGCGUCCGAUACUGGAAGGCUUGAAUCCGGGAGAGGGAUGCGGAAUUCCAGGUGUAGCGGUGAAAUGCGUAGAUAUCUGGAGGAACACCGGUGGCGAAGGCGGCAUCCUGGACCGGUAUUGACGCUGAGGCGCGAAAGCCAGGGGAGCAAACGGG